rnacentral:rRNA from 1 species
AACAAAUGCUGGCGGCGUGCCUAACACAUGCAAGUCGUACGAGAAAGUCGGCUUCGGCCGAUGAGUACAGUGGCGCACGGGUGAGUAGCGCGUGGGUAAUCUGCCCCCCGGUCAGGAAUAACCCGCCGAAAGGCGGGCUAAUACCCGAUAACACUGACGCUCCGCGGAGCGUCUUUCAAAGAAGGCCUCUGUUUACAAGCUUUCGCCGGAGGAUGAGCCCGCGUACCAUUAGCUAGUUGGCAGGGUAAUGGCCUACCAAGGCUACGAUGGUUAGCUGGUCUGAGAGGAUGGCCAGCCACACUGGAACUGAGACACGGUCCAGACUCCUACGGGAGGCAGCAGUGAGGAAUCUUGCGCAAUGGGGAAACCCUGACGCAGCAACGCCGCGUGAGUGAGGAAGGCCUUCGGGUCGUAAGACUCUGUCAGAGUGGGAAGAAAUAGGAUGGGGCGUAAUAUCGACCCACUCCUUGACGGUACCUACUCAGAGGAAGCACCGGCUAACCG